UCUACGGGAGGCAGCAGUAGGGAAUCUUCCGCAAUGGACGAAAGUCUGACGGAGCAACGCCGCGUGAACGAAGAAGGCCUUCGGGUCGUAAAGUUCUGUUGUUAGGGAAGAACAAGUACCAGAGUAACUGCUGGUACCUUGACGGUACCUAACCAGAAAGCCACGGCUAACUACGUGCCAGCAGCCGCGGUAAUA
rnacentral:rRNA from 1 species